GUGAGGAAUAUUGCGCAAUGGAGGCAACUCUGACGCAGCCAUGCCGCGUGCAGGAAGAAGGCGCUACGCGUUGUAAACUGCUUUUAACCGGGAAGAAACCCCAGGACGUGUCCUGGGUUGACGGUACCGGAGGAAUAAGCACCGGCUAACUUCGUGCCAGCAGCCGCGGUAAUACGAAGGGUGCAAGCGUUAUCCGGAUUCAUUGGGUUUAAAGGGUGCGUAGGCGGAGCGUUAAGUCAGUGGUGAAAUCCUGCAGCUUAACUGUAGACUUGCCAUUGAUACUGGCGCGCUUGAGUGCGCUUGAAGUGGGCGGAAUGUGCCGUGUAGCGGUAAAAUGCUUAGAUAUGGCACAGAACACCAAUUGCGAAGGCAGCUCACUAAGGCGAUACUGACGCUGAGGCACGAAAGCGUGGGGAUCGAACAGGAUUAGAAACCCUGGUAGUCC
rnacentral:rRNA from 1 species